rnacentral:rRNA from 1 species
UACGUAGGGUGCGAGCGUUGUCCGGAUUUAUUGGGCGUAAAGAGCGUGUAGGCGGCCAGGUAGGUCCGCUGUGAAAACUCGAGGCUCAACCUCGAGAUGUCGGCGGAAACCAUCUGGCUAGAGUCCGGAAGAGGAGAGUGGAAUUCCUGGUGUAGCGGUGAAAUGCGCAGAUAUCAGGAAGAACACCCGUGGCGAAGGCGGCUCUCUGGGACGGUACUGACGCUGAGACGCGAAAGCGUGGGGAGCGAACAGG